rnacentral:rRNA from 1 species
UACGUAGGGGGCAAGCGUUGUCCGGAUUUAUUGGGCGUAAAGAGCGUGUAGGCGGCUUGACAAGUCCGCUGUGAAAACUCGAGGCUCAACCUCGAGACGUCGGUGGAAACUGUCUCGCUAGAGUCCGGAAGAGGAGAGUGGAAUUCCUGGUGUAGGCGGUGAAAUGCGUAGAUAUCAGGAGGAACACCGAUGGCGAAGGCAGGUCUCUGGGCUGACACUGACGCUCAUGCACGAAAGCGUGGGGAGCAAACAGG